AUACGAAGGGGGCUAGCGUUGUUCGGAAUUACUGGGCGUAAAGCGCACGUAGGCGGAUUGGUCAGUUAGGGGUGAAAUCCCAGGGCUCAACCCUGGAACUGCCUUUAAUACUGCCGGUCUAGAGUUCGAGAGAGGUGAGUGGAAUUCCGAGUGUAGAGGUGAAAUUCGUAGAUAUUCGGAGGAACACCAGUGGCGAAGGCGGCUCACUGGCUCGAUACUGGCGCUGAGGUGCGAAAGCGUGGGGAGCAAACAAGAUUAGAUACCCUGGUAGUCCACGCCGUAAACUAUGAGAGCUAGCCGUCGGCAAGUUUACUUGUCGGUGGCGCAGCUAACGCAUUAAGCUCUCCGCCUGGGGAGUACGGUCGCAAGAUUAAA
rnacentral:rRNA from 1 species